UAAUAAGUGUUUUAUGGCACUUUUUAAAUCCAUAUCCACCUUGUGUGCAAUGUCAGUCGAUCUUCUUCAUGGAGAUCGACCAAACAUCAACCUUUACUUUUUAACUCUUUGUCUGAAAAAUAUUAUGAAUAAACAAUUCAAAAUA
rnacentral:misc_RNA from 1 species